GAUGAACGCUGGCGGCGUGCCUAAUACAUGCAAGUCGAGCGAACGGACGAGAAGCUUGCUUCUCUGAUGUUAGCGGCGGACGGGUGAGUAACACGUGGAUAACCUACCUAUAAGACUGGGAUAACUUCGGGAAACCGGAGCUAAUACCGGAUAAUAUUUUGAACCGCAUGGUUCAAAAGUGAAAGACGGCCUUGCUGUCACUUAUAGAUGGAUCCGCGCUGCAUUAGCUAGUUGGUAAGGUAACGGCUUACCAAGGCAACGAUGCAUAGCCGACCUGAGAGGGUGAUCGGCCACACUGGAACUGAGACACGGUCCAGACUCCUACGGGAGGCAGCAGUAGGGAAUCUUCCGCAAUGGGCGAAGGCCUGACGGAGCAACGCCGCGUGAGUGAUGAAGGUCUUCGGAUCGUAAAACUCUGUUAUUAGGGAAGAACAUAUGUGUAAGCAACUGUGCACAUCUUGACGGUACCUAAUCAGAAAGCCACGGCUAACUACGUG
rnacentral:rRNA from 1 species